rnacentral:pre_miRNA from 1 species
AUGGAUACAAUCUGAAAAUCAAGAUCAGGCCUUGGCCGAAUGCAUAUAUUGCUCAGUUGAAUUGCUAAUAUUGCACUCGCCCCGGCCUGAUCUAAAAGUAAGAUUUCAU